ACGAACGCUGGCGGCGUGCUUAACACCUGCAAGUCGAACGGAAAGGCCCUGCUUUUGUGGGGUGCUCGAGUGGCGAACGGGUGAGUAACACGUGAGUAACCUGCCCUUGACUUUGGGAUAACUUCAGGAAACUGGGGCUAAUACCGGAUAGGAGCUCCUGCUGCCUGGUGGGGGUUGGAAAGUUUCGGCGGUUGGGGAUGGACUCGCGGCUUAUCAGCUUGUUGGUGGGGUAGUGGCUUACCAAGGCUUUGACGGGUAGCCGGCCUGAGAGGGUGACCGGCCACAUUGGGACUGAGAUACGGCCCAGACUCCUACGGGAGGCAGCAGUGGGGAAUAUUGCACAAUGGGCGGAAGCCUGAUGCAGCGACGCCGCGUGCGGGAUGACGGCCUUCGGGUUGUAAACCGCUUUCGCCUGUGACGAAGCGUGAGUGACGGUAAUGGGUAAAGAAGCACCGGCUAACUACGUG
rnacentral:rRNA from 1 species